AAAGGCCUCCCAUCACAGAUCCUCUUCAGCCUUCUCUGCCUACUGAUUUAGUAAAUUCUUAUUUAUGGACUUUAUAUCUUGACUUCAGCCUUUUUGUCUUUCACUUACUAAUGCUCAUUCACAGGCUAAAAGCGCCGCCUUUGCUCCCACUGAUGUAUAUGGGGGUUUAUCACUUGGCACCUCCCCCACGGUUUCUACUCAAGAUGAUACCCUUCGCACUCAAAGUGAUACUACAACUCAAAAUCCCUAUUCUGAGUCUGAAAAUGAGCUAUCAGAAUAAAGUUCUUCUUUUUCAGAUCCUUACUUCCCUUGACUUGCUGUGACAACUGGUACAACUUCCAGCCCUUGAACAAUUUCAGCAACAACAUCUUUUCCUCUGGUUAUUCCCUUCCCACACAACGUGAUACUCCAACUCAAAGCCCUACAUCCAGCCCUCCAAAUACUUCAGAAACGACAUUUGUUUUUUCCUAUGGUUCAAUUGUCAAUUGAUCUGUCGGGCCACCUUGGAAUUACCUUGUGAAUUGAUUCGUGAAGCACCUGUAGGGCAUCAUACCACUCUCUACGGCCUAAAUAGUUUCUUUGUCUAAAAAAAUUUCUGAGAGAGAGAGAGAGAAAUUUUGGCACUACCUAACUUGUUUAAGUAGAGUAAUUCAUGCGCUGUCCCGCCUUAUUCAAUACUUCAUAUUGUUAAUUAAUUAUAGGCUUUCUGCAUAUAUCAUAACAGUAAUGCAAUUUAAUAUAGCAAAAUU